GACCACAGACUCAGGCUCAGGCUCACUGGCUGCAGAGGAGCCUGAGGAAAAAUCUUUGCCUGGGUCUGGAUGCCUCCUGAAGAAACUGUCUUCAGUCUCCUCCAGGACAUUAGAGCGCAAAGCCGCUAAUGCUUACGAAGAUAUUUUAUCUGAAAGGCAAUUCAAAGAAAGUGACUAGAAGUCAUCCUGUGGUAAAAGUCACUCACCAGCAAGGAGAAAACAUGGAUGAAAAUCAACUGCCAGCUAUGAAAUUGAAUAUGCCCUACAACAUGCUCUUCAGCUGGACAGGAAACAAAAGUAUUUUCUCAAGGGCUGGCUGAGUGCUGGAUAAUCUCCUGCUUGCAUCUGUGAGCCCCCAGCCAAAUGAGAGGGCAAAGAGAUGCGGAAAGUGAGCCAGCUAAGGAGGACGCGACUCCAGCAGCUCUUGCUUGUCAGACCUUCUCCGUAUACUGUGCCUGUGGUUAUAACCCCAGUACAGUCUGUGCUGCAGUCCUUAACAGAAGGCCACCUGGAUUGAAGUAGAAAAUGCAUGUUUUCUAGCGAUGACCUAGAGAAAAAGCACUGACCCCCAAGAGGACAGAAUAUCUGCUCACCAGGACCCGGGACUCCAAACACCUGCAUUGUCUAGACAGCCUGGACUCCUGUGGUGCUCAGAAUGCCUGGGAGAAACUGAAGCCUGUCUGGCCUGGAGGACAGUGACCAUGAUUACUGCACUGGGACCCAUCCCUGAGGAGAAAGGACUUGCUGGAGGAUGAGGAGAGUUUCUGGCUCAGACUCCCCUUGUGAGGAUCCUAAUGCAGAUGCCCAGGCCCCACACAUAGGGACUAUGAGGUGGGGCCAGGGCCUCCCAGUGUCUUAAGUCCCAGAUGUAAACAGGUCCUCUCUUGCUUUGCCAAGAGGAGUGAAAUCUGUACAGUUUGGCAAUAACUCUCAGAAGUUUUAAAAGCUUCUGACCUUUGACCUAGUAAUUUCACUUCUGAGAAUUUCCUCUGCAGAGCAUGUAAGUGCACACUGUGUGAAAUGAAGAGGCUAUGAAGAUGGGCAGUGCAGAGAGGUUUAUGUAGCCAAGACUAGAAACAACCCACAUGUCCAAAGAAGUGCUGAGUUUUCAAACUGUUCUGUAUCUGGACAAUGGAUAUUUGUAUCUUAAAAAAAAAAAAAAAAUGAGGAAGUGCUAUGUGAUUGAAAUGGAAGCAACUACAAAACUUAUUAAAUUCAAAAAAUUAAAGAACAGUGUGUAGGGUAUGCCACCUUUGCAUGAUGUAAGAGCACAGCUGCAUGUCUCCCCUUAGAAAUUAGGAAAAAUGUUUGCCUCCAAGAAGGGAACCGGAUGACUGGGAAGAGGGCAGGAGAGAGAUCUGCCUUUCAGAAUGGGUUAUACCUUUUAAGUUUUAUACCAAGUGCCUAUAUAUCUCUAAUAAAAAUGAAAAGGAGCCAG